GAACACAUAUCAAGUUCACAUGAUUACUUACAACAUGAUUUCUCCCAUGACCUCAAGAACAAAAGUAACUACUCACAAAUGAUAAUCAUGCUCAAGAUCAGAGGGGUAUUAAAUAGCAUAAUGGAUAUGAACAUAUAAUCUUCCACCAAAAAAACCAUAUAGUAAUCAACUACAGGAUGUAAUCAACACUACUAGUCACCCACAAGCA
rnacentral:lncRNA from 1 species